rnacentral:rRNA from 1 species
UACGAAGGGGGCUAGCGUUGCUCGGAAUCACUGGGCGUAAAGCGUGUGCAGGCGGGGGUACAAGUGGUGUAUGAAAUUUCCCAGCUUAACUGGGAAGGGUUAUGCCAGACUGUACUUCUGGAGUGCGAGAGAGGGGCGUGGAAUUCCGGGUGUAGUGGUGAAAUGCGUAGAGAUCCGGAGGACCCAGAGGCGAAGGCGGCGCCCUGGCUCGCAACUGACGCUCAGACACGACAGC